rnacentral:rRNA from 1 species
UACAGAGGAGCCAAGCGUUGUCCGGAUUGACUGGGCGUAAAGCGCACGCAGGCGGAUACGCGCGUGGGGUGUGAAAUCUGGCCGCUUAACGGCCAGGCGCCAUCCCAUACGGCGUGUCUGGAGCUGUGCAGAGGUCGGUGGAAUUGCCGGUGUAGUGGUGAAAUGCGUAGAGAUCGGCAGGAACACCCAGGGGGGAAACCAGCCGACUGGGCACAUGCUGACGCUGAGGUGCGAGAGCGUGGGGAGCGAACCGG